rnacentral:rRNA from 1 species
AACGAACGCUGGCGGCAUGCCUAACACAUGCAAGUCGAACGAGAACUCCGGGUCUAGUGGCGCACGGGGGGGUAACACGGGGGAACCUGCCCUUAGGUUCCGAAUAACUCCCCGAAAGGGGUGCUAAUAACGGAUAAGGUCUUCGGACCAACGAGUUAUCGCCUUUGGCUGGGCGCGGGUUGGCUUAGCUAGUUGGGAGUGUAAAAGCAGACCAAGGCGACGAUGCAUAGCUGGUGUGAGAGGAUGCUCCGGCGCACUGGGACUGCGACACGGCCCAGAAUCCUACGGGAGGGAGGAGUGGAGAAUACUGGACACGGGGCGAAAGCCUGGUACAGCCAUGCCGCGUGUGUGAUGCAGGGCUUAGGGUUCUGAAGCUCUUUUACACGGAACGAUAAUGACGGUAACGGGAGAAUAAGCACCGGCUAACUACGUG